UUCAUUUUGAUUUAAUAUCAGGUAGAGAACAGCAUUGCAGAUUCCGUUAAUUUUGAAUACAGACAUUAGGAAGGCUAGUGGUAAAUCUCACUCUGAUAUGAAGUCAGCUUAUGAUUUCACAUGCCUCAGAAAAAAUAGUAUUCUCAGUUUUUUUAAAAAAAAAAUAUUCAUUUUCCAUGAGGGAAUAAAUAAGGAAUAUACACCCCCCACAGGAUUUCCUCAUUUUAAGCAAAUUUUCUCACUCCAUUGUCUCAAAGAAUAUGACUACUCUCCCAUGUAAUUAUGAUAUAGGAAACAAAUCUAGUUACAGACACCAGAGUUAUGACUUUGUUUCUUCAUUCUGCAUGUGUACUUAUGUCAAAAGCUGCAAAUUCUUUAAUUGUAAGAGUUGACAAGAGCUUAAGAGCUGUAGUAGAUCAUCUCAUAUGCUAUAUUUUAGUAUACAAAUUAAACUGAAUUCAGGAGGGUCAUGCAAAGAAAAGUUGUAGGUAAUGCUGUUGAAGGUGCAGUUCCACAAGAACCACCUUUAUCCAUGGAAAUAAUGUUGCAUCCAUAUUUCUGAGAGAGAAAGCAAGUAUUGUGCUGAUAUAUCAGGGCUUUGUUUGAUUAAAAAAAAUGCCAUUUGCAAGUACUCUUAGUAGCACUAAAUUAGGUAAAACAGCACUUAAUCAAUAUUCUAAUAUGAAAAUUCAGUAACCCAGAGUGAAGGGCUUUCUGUGGGUAGGCUCAAAGACAGCAAAACAAUUCUCUACAGUUUUGCAAAUGUGAGUGUCAGUUCUGGGAUUUCACCAUUUUUUGCUAUGGUAAAAUGAAUGUAACAAUGCCUGAUGAGAAGCUUAAGGCUUGAUUCAGGAGAUGAAGAAAUGCAAGAUACUACUGAUGUGUGGUUGGACUGGGGGGGUUAGGAGGGUUGUUACUGCAGCAUUUCUCAUGGCAACACAAACUUCUGUCUAGUCUACAAACUUAAGAUCUCUUAGCUUUAAGGGUCCCACUUCAGGUUUAUGAGCUAAGGCCUUUGCAGCCAUGCAAGUGCUUCCUAAUUGUUGAUCAACUUCUUGUGUGUGUGAUUCUUUGGGAAAGUGCUGAAAUUAUGUCUCUGGAAAGCAUUCAUUUUCAGCAAAACAGUAGUCAUGUAAGCUGCCAUGGAUCAAUUCAUCAAGAACAAACAGCUUGGAAGGUUCAUAUCUGCAGUGUCUGCUCAAGUAAUAUCCUACAAGAAUUACGAAUGCAUUUGCAAGAGAAAUUGGGUAGUUCAUAAAGGCAUUGACGCAUCACAUCAGGUGUUCAUAACCACUUUCUAAAUGUGCAUUUAAGUGAGAUUCCCUGCAUUAAGAAACAAUUUGUAAUGGUUCAUUUAUUUUUUGACUGCAGCUAGGUCUUGUCAGUGUGACUUUGUUUUACAAAGACUGCAAGCCUAUAACUUAAUACCAAAUAUACUAACUCCAAAUACUCUAGAACAGCACGAUAUUCAGCACUUGGCUCAUCUGUCAGAUUCAGUAUUACAAAUCAGAAGUAUCUUGCCAGUUAAGAUGUGGCUCAUGAGUUAUUUUCUUUAAAAGCUCUCAUUAUGUAAAAGACUAAAGCUCGGUAGUCAGAAUUUCUUUUGGGCCAUUGAUUUGCACGUUAUUUAAAAGGGACCACAGCCCCCUUCUCUCCUCAUUUUGUUAUAUGCUAAAGCUAUGUUAUAUAGUUUCUUGUACACUAAGUAAAAAUUUUAAAGUAUCUCUCACUAACUAAGGUUUUAUUUUCUUAGCACUAAGAUGCUUGAUGAAACACUCCUAGUCAGAAAGAUCUGGGACAAAAUAUCUUGUUUCUGUAAACGUGAGAAGGAGAAAUCUAUGCCUGGCUAUUCAAGCACACCUCUAAGGGAGAAGAGGACCACUGUGGCUAGUUUAUGAAGCUAAAUACAGUACUAAGAGUGCUGUUACAUUGUGUGACCAUGUGACCAGGCCUGGAUUUCUGCACGUGGAGGACAGCAGUUCUUCAAAAGAGAAAAUCAAAAGGCAGGAGAUGGCAGCUGAACUUCCUGGGUUCUUUACAAACCUUCAUCACAAAAUCCCUUUAAAUGAAACUGGAAUUCUUGUUCCAUUUCAAAUGCAAUGAAUGAUUUUGUAGCAAGUUCUUCUGAGGGUUCUAUAAAUAUACAGCGUAAAUUAAA